rnacentral:tRNA from 1 species
GAGAGUAUAGCUCAGGGGUAGAGCAUUUGACUGCAGAUCAAGAGGUCCCUGGUUCAAAUCCAGGUGCCCCCU